GACGAACGCUGGCGGCGUGCCUAAUACAUGCAAGUUGAGCGCUGAAGGUUGGUACUUGUACCAACUGGAUGAGCAGCGAACGGGUGAGUAACGCGUGGGGAAUCUGCCUUUGAGCGGGGGACAACAUUUGGAAACGAAUGCUAAUACCGCAUAAAAACUUUAAACACAAGUUUUAAGUUUGAAAGAUGCAAUUGCAUCACUCAAAGAUGAUCCCGCGUUGUAUUAGCUAGUUGGUGAGGUAAAGGCUCACCAAGGCGAUGAUACAUAGCCGACCUGAGAGGGUGAUCGGCCACAUUGGGACUGAGACACGGCCCAAACUCCUACGGGAGGCAGCAGUAGGGAAUCUUCGGCAAUAGACGAAAGUCUGACCGAGCAACGCCGCGUGAGUGAAGAAGGUUUUCGGAUCGUAAAACUCUGUUGGUAGAGAAGAACGUUGGUGAGAGUGGAAAGCCCAUCAAGUGACGGUAACUACCCAGAAAGGGACGGCUAACUACGUG
rnacentral:rRNA from 1 species